rnacentral:rRNA from 1 species
CCAUACGGCUUCGGCCGUCCAUUGUUGACUCAGAAUAACUAAGCUGAUCGCAUGGUCUUGUACCGGCGACGUGUCUUUCAAGUUUCUGCCUUAUCAACUUUCGAUGGUAGUGUAUUUGACUACCAUGGUGGUGACGGGUAACGGAGGAUAAGGGUUCGACUCCGGAGAAGGGGCCUGAGAAAUGGCCACUACGUCUAAGGAUGGCAGCAGGCGCGCAAAUUACCCACUCUCAGUGCGAGGAGGUAGUGACGAGAAAUAACGAGAACGUUCUCUUCAGAGGCCGUUCAUCGGAAUGGGUACAAUUUAAACCCUUUAACGAGUAUCUAUGAGAGGGCAAGUCUGGUGCCAGCAGCCGCGGUAAUUCCAGCUCUCAAAAUGCAUAGAAUUAUUGCUGCGGUUAAAAAGCUCGUAGUUGGAUCUGUGCCGGCUGACCGGUCCACCUCACGGUGCGCACUGGCUCAGUGGGCUUUUUGGUGGCAUACUGCCGCGAGAGCUUCAUCGCUCCCGUGGUCAGAGCCACAAGUUUACCUUGAACAAAUCAAAGUGCUCAAAACAGGCGUUUGCUUGAAUGUUCGUGCAUGGAAUAAUAGAAGAGGAUUUCGGUUCUAUUUUAUUGGUUUUAUAGACUGAGAUAAUGGUUAACAGAGACAAACGGGGGCAUUCGUAUUGCCAC